GUGGUAACAGUUGUGGUGGUGGCGGUAGGCUAUACUGACCCAUACACAUUCAAACACAGCCAUACAUUCUCAAAACACACUCAAAUACUGAAAAUACUCGUAAACACACUCAAACACAUCCAGAACAUUGACACACACACAGUGAAGUAUUGUUAUAUUACGAACAGUUUUCCAGCAGUGCAAACCUUCGCCACAACCCUCCACACUGCUCUAUCUUCAUCUAUUAAAGGUUCAAACUAUAGAUGGAAGCAACAGAAGAAAGAAGAAGAAGAAAUAAAGGAGAAGGACGAAUAAGAACUGUGAAAUGGAGGCAGAAUAGGAGGAGGAGCCAAGCUGUAAUAUUUAGGUGACGACAAGCAGAGUGAGCUGCACGUGGGGAGGCUGUGGGUGAUGAGUUCAUGGCGCAGGUCAGCCACACCAUGCACCGCGCUGACUUCCCGCAGCUGUUCUCUAAGGUCGGGGACGCCUGCUUCUCCGUGUUCUACCCUGGAAAUGUGAGUGUGUAGGGGUGUGGUGCUUGUUGUUGUUGUUGUUUGAUUUUUUAAUGCAAGAGGGGCGUGCUGGUGAACUGGUGGGCGUCCUAGUGGGUGUUGGUGUGGGUAUUUGAGGUAAUGGGUAGGGAAUCAUGGGCGUGUGUGAUGCUGUGAGCUUGCUGGUGUACUGCUGGGCGUCCUCUUGGGUGUUUUUGGGCGUAUAUGAAGUAUAUAAUGUAUUAUGUGCCUCUGAAGUGUAGGCAUCACGUUGACCUCGAGCGCCGAGACUACUGUAUAGGCUCUUGCCACAAGCCUCAUUCACAAAUUAUAUGUAGGCCUAUAUACCUUACUUCGCUCUUCUGUAUCAUAUGUUUGUAUUUCCUGAUUUGUGAA